AGAAUGCUGAACAGAAAAGAGCACAUCCACAAAUCCUGGACCCCAGAUGGUUGCAAAAUGCAUAUACCCAGUUUAGCAUCAAGGACUAUGCUACUGUAGUAUGCAUCUGAGUGCCUAGCCAGUAGUCCACUAUCUUUGCCUCUACAGAAAGCCAUGGCCCAGAAAAUCUGAUCUGAAUCUGGCUACAUCCCUUUACAGCCACCAUUGCAUGCGCCAAGCUCAUGGCCUUGUCUCCUGCCAAAUACAAAUUAGUCAUAUGGUUGUGCAUAUAUAAUUAUAUAUUCAUGGGCUAGCUAGUAGUACACCACUACUUCAUCAAACUCACAGAUCAAGAAUUUCUGAGCUACAUACCUCAGAACCAAG
rnacentral:lncRNA from 1 species